rnacentral:rRNA from 1 species
GACGAACGCCCGCGGCGCUCUUAACAUAUGCUAGUCGAACGCUGAAGCUCAGCUUUUGUUGGGUGUAUGAUUGUCGAACGGUUGAGUAACACGUGAGUAACCUGCCCCCUUCUUUGGAAUAACGCCCGGAAACGGGUUCUAAUACUGGAUAUUCACUGGUCUUCUCCUGGGGGUUGGUGGUAAGGGUUUUUCUGGUGUGGGAUGUGCUCGCUGCCUAUCAGCUUGUUGGUGGGGUGAUGGCCUACCACUGUUUUGACGGGUAGCCGGCCUGAGAGCUUGACCGGUGACAUUGGGACUGAGAUACGGCCCAGACUCCUACGGGAGGCAGCAGUGGGGAAUAUUGCACAAUGGGCGCAAGCCUGAUGCAGCGACGCCGCGUGAGGGAUGGAGGCCUUAGGGUUGUGAACCUCUUUCGCUCAUGGUCAAGCCGCAACAAUGGUUGUGGUGAGGGUAGUGGGUAAAGAAGCGCCGGCUAACUACGUG